rnacentral:rRNA from 1 species
AUAUGGUCAAGUGAAGAAGCGCAUACGGUGGAUGCCUUGGCAGUCAGAGGCGAUGAAAGACGUGAUAGCCUGCGAUAAGCUCCGGUUAGGUGGCAAAUAACCGUAUGACCCGGAGAUUUCUGAAUGGGGGAACCCACU